CUUUCUGCGGCUGGUGAGCUUAAAGAAUAAAAAAAAAUGAAAAAAAGGGGGUGGGGAUAUGGGCUCUACAUGUCCCACAAUCCCUCCCCUCAUCUCCACCGACCUAUCAUUCAUUCCAUUUAUUUUUCUUUCUUUUCCCUCUUUGCUCGGUGGGAAUGGAAGGGGAACAGAGCAAGGAAGAAACACACACACACACAGAGAGAGAGAGAGAGAGAGAGAGAGAAGUGUGGAGACGGCAAGGAAGAGCUCGAUUCUGCUCGGUGGUUCGACUGUAGACCAAUUUCAGGUAUGCGAAUAAUAGGGAUCGCGAAGACUGAAUCCUAGCACUAAAAAGGGUCGAUCGAAUGAGCUGUAAUUCUUGGAGUUGUCGAUAAGUUUCUAAUUGCACGGAAGAACUACUUUUUGAUAUCGGGGAUCAGCUUGGAGAACUAGGCAGGAACCUUAAUUAUUUGAUAGAUAUCCUUUUUGUAUAGAAUGGACUUGAGAAUGUCACUACCUGAAACUUUUGUUUAGUCGGUUUAGCAAUGUAGCUUUGCUAGAAUCGUACUUAUAUAAAUAUAUAUGUGAAAGCAUUUGUAGUAGUUGUAUGUUUUUGAGAGUUAUGGAAAGCAGAUUUUAUAUGAAUAGUUACGUGAUAAUGGAUGUCGAGGAAAUACAGGAAAAAUUCAGCUGAAAU